rnacentral:rRNA from 1 species
CCUACGGGAGGCAGCAGUGGGGAAUAUUGCACAAUGGGGGGAACCCUGAUGCAGCGACGCCGCGUGAGUGAAGAAGUAUUUCGGUAUGUAAAGCUCUAUCAGCAGGGAAGAAAAUGACGGUACCUGACUAAGAAGCCCCGGCUAACUACGUGCCAGCAGCCGCGGUAAUACGUAGGGGGCAAGCGUUAUCCGGAUUUACUGGGUGGAAAGGGAGCGUAGACGGCAGAGCAAGUCUGAAGUGAAAGGCAGUGGCCCAACUGCGGGACUGCUUUGGAAACUGCCCGGCUAGAGUGCUGAAGUGGUAAGCGGAAUUCCUAGUGUAGCGGUGAAAUGCGUAGAUAUUAGGAGGAACACCGGUGGCGAAGGCGGCUUACUGGACAGUAACUGACGUUGAGGCUCGAAAGCGUGGGGAGCAAACAGGAUUAGAUACCCCGGUAGUC